rnacentral:rRNA from 1 species
CCUACGGGUGGCAGCAGUGGGGAAUAUUGGUCAAUGGUCGCAAGCCUGACCCAGCAACGCCGCGUGAGGGAAGACUGCUUUCUGGUUGUAAACUUCUUUUCUCAGGGACGAAGCAAGUGCCGGUACCUGAGGAAUAAGCCACGGCUAACUACGUGCCUGCAGCCGCGGUAAUCCGUAGGUGGCAAUCGUUAUCCGGAUUUAUUGGGUUUAAAGGGUUCGUAGGCGGUCCGUUAAGUCAGCGGUAAAAUUGCGGGGCUCAACCCCGGCGAGCCGUUGACACUGGCAGACUUGAGUUGGUGAGAAGUACGCGGAAUGCGCGGUGUAGCGGUGAAAUGCAUAGAUAUCGCGCAGAACUCCGAUUGCGAAGGCAGCGUACCGGCGCGAGACUGACGCUGAGGCACGAGAGCGUGGGGAGCGAACAGGAUUAGAUACCCUAGUAGUC